AACGAACGCUGGCGGCAGGCCUUAUACAUGCAAGUCGAGCGCAUCCUUCGGGAUGAGCGGCGGACGGGUGAGUAACGCGUGGGAAUGUGCCCUUCUCUACGGAAUAGCCACUGGAAACGGUGAGUAAUACCGUAUACGCCCUUAGGGGGAAAGAUUUAUCGGAGAAGGAUCAGCCCGCGUUAGAUUAGGUAGUUGGUGGGGUAACGGCCUACCAAGCCUACGAUCUAUAGCUGGUUUUAGAGGAUGAUCAGCAACACUGGGACCGAGACACGGCCCAGACUCCUACGGGAGGCAGCAGUGGGGAAUCUUGGACAAUGGGGGAAACCCUGAUCUAGCCAUGCCGCGUGUGUGAAGAAGGCCCUAGGGUCGUAAAGCACUUUCGCCAGAGAUGAUAAUGACAGUAUCUGGUAAAGAAACCCCGGCUAACUCCGUGCCAGCAGCCGCGGUAAUACGGAGGGGGUUAGCGUUGUUCGGAAUUACUGGGCGUAAAGCGCACGUAGGCGGAUUAGUAAGUUAGAGGUGAAAUCCCAGGGCUCAACCCUGGAACUGCCUUUAAUACUGCUAGUCUUGAGUUCGAGAGAGGUAAGUGGAAUUCCAAGUGUAGAGGUGAAAUUCGUAGAUAUUUGGAGGAACACCAGUGGCGAAGGCGGCUUACUGGCUCGAUACUGACGCUGAGGUGCGAAAGUGUGGGGAGCAAACAGGAUUAGAUACCCUGGUAGUCCACACCGUAAACGAUGAAUGCCAGACGUCAGCAAGUAUACUUGUUGGUGUCACGCCUAACGGAUUAAGCAUUCCGCCUGGGGAGUACGGUCGCAAGAUUA
rnacentral:rRNA from 1 species